rnacentral:rRNA from 1 species
CGAACGGCAGCACAGUAGAGGGUAACCUUUACGGGUGGCGAGUGGCGGACGGGUGAGUAAUACAUCGGAACUUGCCUUUGAGAGGGGGAUAACCCGGGGAAACUCGGGCUAAUACCGCAUAACGUCGAGAGACCAAAGCGGGGGAUCGCAAGACCUCGCACUCAAAGAGAGGCUGAUGUCGGAUUAGCUAGUUGGUAGGGUAAAGGCCUACCAAGGCGACGAUCCGUAGCUGGUCUGAGAGGACGAUCAGCCACACUGGGACUGAGACACGGCCCAGACUCCUACGGGAGGCAGCAGUGGGGAAUAUUGGACAAUGGGGGCAACCCUGAUCCAGCAAUGCCGCGUGUGUGAAGAAGGCCUGCGGGUUGUAAAGCACUUUAGGUGGGGAGGAAGUGUUAUAACUGAAUAAGUUGUAAUGUUGACGUUACCCACAGAAUAAGCACCGGCUAACUCUGUGCCAGCAGCCGCGGUAAUACAGAGGGUGCAAGCGUUAAUCGGAAUUACUGGGCGUAAAGCGCAUGUAGGUGGUUACAUAAGUUUGAUGUGAAAGCCCCGGGCUUAACCUGGGAAUGGCGUUGAAGACUGUGUGACUAGAGUCGGACAGAGGGUCGUGGAAUUUCCGGUGUAGCGGUGAAAUGCGUAGAGAUCGGAA